rnacentral:lncRNA from 1 species
UAAGCAAUCUCCAUCGUCAGCGUCCAAAGCCAACCGUCACACCACUUAGAAGAGAAAGGAGAUAGCACUUCCAUUGAGCCUGCUUGGUUCUGAGGGCAUUCAGCCUGACUUACCUGUUUUUAUUGCCCUCUUGUUAUCUGCCAGGCAGAGGGACAGAACACAGAGAGACAGUCCCUCGAGGCUUUCAGUCAUUCUACCUAGGGAAAGGAAAUGUGAACAAGUAACUGUCAACGGUAUAAGUUAAGACUAGCAGAAGGUGGGGAUGUAAGAAGGAGGGAGGAGGCCAGGGGCCUCUGGAAGGUUCCCAGAGGAGGUGUGUACUUUGCUGGUUCACAUACCCCAAGCUCUGCUGCUCACAGUGUUCUAGCCCAGACUCCUUCGCCAGUUCACAGCUGUCGGAAUGUGGCCAGCCUCACUCCUGCUUCCCCCAAAAUAGGAUCCUUGCUGUAGGAUCUACCUUGCUAGAAAAGGGUGUAGUCCAGCCCCUUCCUGUGAGAACACCAGAGGCUUGGUGCAAGAACUUCUUCAUACACGUUUCCACAACAGGACUCGGCCUUGCCAACUUGAUGCCACGUUUUGCUUCCACCCACCUAGCACUAAAUACUUGAAGACCUUCAGGCAAGAUGCUGACCUCCCAUUAUCCCGCCUCUGCAAUCAAUAAGAGCUUGCCUUUCCCUGCAGUUAAGAGCCGCCCGGCCUCUUCUUCGGCCAGUUGCUGCUCUCUUCUCCCGUGAGACAAAGCCCCCAUUAAAGCCUUGCCUGUAACGUACACAAACUUGGCAGGGUCUCAUUUCUGUUGCUUCAAAGCCAAAAGAUCCAGGUCUCCAGUAAACACAUCCACUUCCUAUUUAACCAAGGACUUCCAGCAACAAAUUCUCAAAGUAAGGGGAGUUUGGGGGUUUUUUUGUUUUGGUUUGGUUUGGUUUUUUGGUUUUUUGGUUUUUUUCCUGUAAGAGCUCCAUAAAGAAAUAAAAUUGGUUUUGGCCAAGUUGAAGGAGAAGUU